GUGCCUGUAGUUCAAUGGUAGAACACCUCUCUGUGGAGGAGGUUACGUGGGUCCGAUUCCCAUCAGGCACC
rnacentral:tRNA from 1 species